GUGUCAGCAGCCGCGGUAAUACGUAGGGUGCAAGCGUUGUCCGGAUUUAUUGGGCGUAAAGAGCUCGUAGGCGGUUAGUCACGUCGGAUGUGAAAACUCAGAGCUUAACUCUGAGCCUGCAUUCGAUACGGGCUGACUAGAGUGUUGUAGGGGAGACUGGAACUCCUGGUGUAGCGGUGAAAUGCGCAGAUAUCAGGAAGAACACCGGUGGCGAAGGCGGGUCUCUGGGCAACUACUGACGCUGAGGAGCGAAAGCGUGGGGAGCAAACAGGAUUAGAAACCCCGGUAGUCC
rnacentral:rRNA from 1 species